UUAAGCGACUAAGCGUACACGGUGGAUGCCCUGGCAGUCAGAGGCGAUGAAGGACGUGCUAAUCUGCGAUAAGCGUCGGUAAGGUGAUAUGAACCGUUAUAACCGGCGAUUUCCGAAUGGGGAAACCCAGUGUGUUUCGACACACUAUCAUUAACUGAAUCCAUAGGUUAAUGAGGCGAACCGGGGGAACUGAAACAUCUAAGUACCCCGAGGAAAAGAAAUCAACCGAGAUUCUCCCAGUAGCGGCGAGCGAACGGGGAGCAGCCCAGAGCCUGAAUCAGUGUGUGUGUUAGUGGAAGCGUCUGGAAAGGCGCGCGAUACAGGGUGACAGCCCCGUACACAAAAAUGCACAUGCUGUGAGCUCGAUGAGUAGGGCGGGACACGUGGUAUCCUGUCUGAAUAUGGGGGGACCAUCCUCCAAGGCUAAAUACUCCUGACUGACCGAUAGUGAACCAGUACCGUGAGGGAAAGGCGAAAAGAACCCCGGCGAGGGGAGUGAAAAAGAACCUGAAACCGUGUACGUACAAGCAGUGGGAGCACGCUUAGGCGUGUGACUGCGUACCUUUUGUAUAAUGGGUCAGCGACUUAUAUUCUGUAGCAAGGUUAACCGAAUAGGGGAGCCGAAGGGAAACCGAGUCUUAACUGGGCGUUAAGUUGCAGGGUAUAGACCCGAAACCCGGUGAUCUAGCCAUGGGCAGGUUGAAGGUUGGGUAACACUAACUGGAGGACCGAACCGACUAAUGUUGAAAAAUUAGCGGAUGACUUGUGGCUGGGGGUGAAAGGCCAAUCAAACCGGGAGAUAGCUGGUUCUCCCCGAAAGCUAUUUAGGUAGCGCCUCGUGAAUUCAUCUCCGGGGGUAGAGCACUGUUUCGGCAAGGGGGUCAUCCCGACUUACCAACCCGAUGCAAACUGCGAAUACCGGAGAAUGUUAUCACGGGAGACACACGGCGGGUGCUAACGUCCGUCGUGAAGAGGGAAACAACCCAGACCGCCAGCUAAGGUCCCAAAGUCAUGGUUAAGUGGGAAACGAUGUGGGAAGGCCCAGACAGCCAGGAUGUUGGCUUAGAAGCAGCCAUCAUUUAAAGAAAGCGUAAUAGCUCACUGGUCGAGUCGGCCUGCGCGGAAGAUGUAACGGGGCUAAACCAUGCACCGAAGCUGCGGCAGCGACACUAUGUGUUGUUGGGUAGGGGAGCGUUCUGUAAGCCUGUGAAGGUGUGCUGUGAGGCAUGCUGGAGGUAUCAGAAGUGCGAAUGCUGACAUAAGUAACGAUAAAGCGGGUGAAAAGCCCGCUCGCCGGAAGACCAAGGGUUCCUGUCCAACGUUAAUCGGGGCAGGGUGAGUCGACCCCUAAGGCGAGGCCGAAAGGCGUAGUCGAUGGGAAACAGGUUAAUAUUCCUGUACUUGGUGUUACUGCGAAGGGGGGACGGAGAAGGCUAUGUUGGCCGGGCGACGGUUGUCCCGGUUUAAGCGUGUAGGCUGGUUUUCCAGGCAAAUCCGGAAAAUCAAGGCUGAGGCGUGAUGACGAGGCACUACGGUGCUGAAGCAACAAAUGCCCUGCUUCCAGGAAAAGCCUCUAAGCAUCAGGUAACAUCAAAUCGUACCCCAAACCGACACAGGUGGUCAGGUAGAGAAUACCAAGGCGCUUGAGAGAACUCGGGUGAAGGAACUAGGCAAAAUGGUGCCGUAACUUCGGGAGAAGGCACGCUGAUAUGUAGGUGAAGUCCCUCGCGGAUGGAGCUGAAAUCAGUCGAAGAUACCAGCUGGCUGCAACUGUUUAUUAAAAACACAGCACUGUGCAAACACGAAAGUGGACGUAUACGGUGUGACGCCUGCCCGGUGCCGGAAGGUUAAUUGAUGGGGUUAGCCGCAAGGCGAAGCUCUUGAUCGAAGCCCCGGUAAACGGCGGCCGUAACUAUAACGGUCCUAAGGUAGCGAAAUUCCUUGUCGGGUAAGUUCCGACCUGCACGAAUGGCGUAAUGAUGGCCAGGCUGUCUCCACCCGAGACUCAGUGAAAUUGAACUCGCUGUGAAGAUGCAGUGUACCCGCGGCAAGACGGAAAGACCCCGUGAACCUUUACUAUAGCUUGACACUGAACAUUGAGCCUUGAUGUGUAGGAUAGGUGGGAGGCUUAGAAGUGUGGACGCCAGUCUGCAUGGAGCCGACCUUGAAAUACCACCCUUUAAUGUUUGAUGUUCUAACGUUGACCCGUAAUCCGGGUUGCGGACAGUGUCUGGUGGGUAGUUUGACUGGGGCGGUCUCCUCCUAAAGAGUAACGGAGGAGCACGAAGGUUGGCUAAUCCUGGUCGGACAUCAGGAGGUUAGUGCAAUGGCAUAAGCCAGCUUGACUGCGAGCGUGACGGCGCGAGCAGGUGCGAAAGCAGGUCAUAGUGAUCCGGUGGUUCUGAAUGGAAGGGCCAUCGCUCAACGGAUAAAAGGUACUCCGGGGAUAACAGGCUGAUACCGCCCAAGAGUUCAUAUCGACGGCGGUGUUUGGCACCUCGAUGUCGGCUCAUCACAUCCUGGGGCUGAAGUAGGUCCCAAGGGUAUGGCUGUUCGCCAUUUAAAGUGGUACGCGAGCUGGGUUUAGAACGUCGUGAGACAGUUCGGUCCCUAUCUGCCGUGGGCGCUGGAGAACUGAGGGGGGCUGCUCCUAGUACGAGAGGACCGGAGUGGACGCAUCACUGGUGUUCGGGUUGUCAUGCCAAUGGCACUGCCCGGUAGCUAAAUGCGGAAGAGAUAAGUGCUGAAAGCAUCUAAGCACGAAACUUGCCCCGAGAUGAGUUCUCCCUGACUCCUUGAGAGUCCUGAAGGAACGUUGAAGACGACGACGUUGAUAGGCCGGGUGUGUAAGCGCAGCGAUGCGUUGAGCUAACCGGUACUAAUGAACCGUGAGGCUUAACCUU
rnacentral:rRNA from 1 species